rnacentral:rRNA from 1 species
UACGGAGGAUCCGAGCGUUAUCCGGAUUUAUUGGGUUUAAAGGGUGCGUAGGCGGUUUGACAAGUUAGAGGUGAAAUGUCGGGGCUCAACCCCGAAACUGCCUCUAAUACUGUUGGACUAGAGAAUAGUUGCGGUAGGCGGAAUGUAUGGUGUAGCGGUGAAAUGCUUAGAGAUCAUACAGAACACCGAUUGCGAAGGCAGCUUACCAAACUAUAUCUGACGUUGAGGCACGAAAGCGUGGGUAGCAAACAGG